rnacentral:rRNA from 1 species
GUGCCAGCAGCCGCGGUAAUACGAAGGGACCUAGCGUAGUUCGGAAUUACUGGGCUUAAAGAGUUCGUAGGUGGUUGAAAAAGUUAGUGGUGAAAUCCCAGAGCUUAACUCUGGAACUGCCAUUAAAACUUUUCAGCUAGAGUAUGAUAGAGGAAAGCAGAAUUUCUAGUGUAGAGGUGAAAUUCGUAGAUAUUAGAAAGAAUACCAAUUGCGAAGGCAGCUUUCUGGAUCAUUACUGACACUGAGGAACGAAAGCAUGGGUAGCGAAGAGGAUUAGAUACCCUCGUAGUCCAUGCCGUAAACGAUGUGUGUUAGACGUUGGAAAUUUAUUUUCAGUGUCGCAGGGAAACCGAUAAACACACCGCCUGGGGAGUACGACCGCAAGGUUAAAACUCAAAUGAAUUGACGGGGACCCGCACAAGUAGUGGAGCAUGUGGUUUAAUUCGAAGAUACGCGCAGAACCUUACCAACACUUGACAUGUUCGUCGCGACUUUAAGAGAUUAGAGUUUUCGGUUCGGCCGGACGAAACACAGGUGCUGCAUGGCUGUCGUCAGCUCGUGUCGUGAGAUGUUGGGUUAAGUCCCGCAACGAGCGCAACCCUCACUUUUAGUUGCCAUCAUUAAGUUGGGCACUCUGAAAGAACUGCCAGUGAUAAGCUGGAGGAAGGUGGGGAUGACGUCAAGUCCUCAUGGCCCUUACGUGUUGGGCUACACACGUGCUACAAUGGUA